CUACACCAUUAAGUUUUACCUUGAUGGUACUAUUGAACGUUUAAAGGCUCGCUUGGUUGCUAAGGGAUACAAUUAAACCCUUGGUGUUGAUUAUAUUGAAGCCUUCUCUCAUGUUGCCAAGUUUAACUUUAUUCGUGUUAUCUUCUUCGCGACUAUUAAUCAUGGCCAGCCUUGCUUCCAACUGGACGUUAAAAAUGCAUUUUCUUCACGGUUAUCUCAUAGAGGAUGUCUAUAUGGAGCAAUUACCUAGAUUUAUUGCUUAGGGGGAGUUAUACAAGGUAUAUAAACUGAGAAAGGCAGUCUAUGGGUUGAUGCAAUCUCCAUGGGCAUGGUUGGAAAAAUUCGAUAAAGUUGUGAUAAAUUGUAGCUUUGUUUAAAGCCAUACAGGUCAUUCAAUCUUUAUACAGAAAGACACCUUCGGUCUUAUUGUGUUAGUAGUAUAUGUUGAUGAUAUUAUUGUUAUGGGAAGUGAUGAUAAGGGGAUUAUGGAGCUGAGAUCUUCAGAGGCAUUUUUCUCACGAAAGAUUUGGGUCAUCAUUGAUACUUUUUAGAUAUAGAAGUUGCCAAAUCAAAUGAAGGAAUUAAUUUGUCCCAACGGAAAUACGUUUUGGGUUUGCUCAUAGAGACAUGUCUUCUUGGUACCAAGCUAGUUGAUACAUUAGUGGAUCCAAAUUACAAACUUGCUGGUGAUCAAGAAGAUGUAUUUGAACACCUAAGAAGUUAUAGAAGGUUGAUUGAGAAACUCAUCUAUUUAACUAUAACUCACUCAGACAUAUCUAAUGUUGUGAAUGUGGUGAGCCAAGUUAUGAGCUUUUCGAGAGUAUCUCACAUGGAUGCAGUGGUUCAAAUUUCGUGGCAUCUUAAAGGAGCACUAGGUUAGAGAUAUUCUGUAUAGACAACACAAUCAUGUGAUAGAAUAAGUAGUGUUGUGACCUGAUAAAGUCUUGAAGCUGAAUAUAGAGAAAUGACUCACACUACCUAUGAGCUAAUGUGGAUCUAGAAACUAUUGUAGGAAAUGGGAUUUGUGGUGAAUCUACCUAUGCAGUUAUUUUGUGAUAAUCAGGCAACAUCCACCAUUGCAAACAAUCUAGUCUGUUAUGAAAGAACUAAACAUAUUGAAGUGGACUGUCACUUUAUACGUGAGUAGGCCUUUAGUGGUGAAAUCUCUACUCCAAAUGUCCGGUUUCUAGAUUAACUUGCUGAUAUAUAUUUAUUAAGACUUUACCUCACGAUCAGUCUAGAUGCAUAUACUCAAAGCUUGGCAUCGACAACAUCUAUGCUCCAGCUUGAGGGGGAGUAUUAACGGACGAGAAAUAUAGGCUAUACAACUGUACCACCCACAUAAUGAAUAUGGAUGUGGGCCAUACAGUUGUACUGCCCGAUUAGUGCCUUCUCUCAUCUAUUUUUUUAGUUAAAUUGGAUUAGGACUCUUGAUUAUGACUCAAGGGAAAAUUUUGCUUUUGUUACUAAUGAGUUAUGUUGAGAUGGAUGAGUAGCAAGGUGAUGAAGGAUAGAAUUAGAAAUGAAUACAUUUGAGCGAACUUAGGAGUAACACCAGUUGGCAGUAAGAUAAAGGAAGUAGACUUGUAUGGUUUGGUCAUGUGCAACGGAGUCCAAGACUUGCCUGACUAGGAGUGAGUUGGUUCAAGUUGAAGCCCGUAGAAGGGCAAGGGGAUGGCCCAAAAGGCUGUAGGUGGGGAGAAAAGGCUCAAGGACCAAUGAUUUAAACGAGGAUAUGGGUAGUGAUAGAGUGGAAUGAUGGAAUAUGAUUCAUGUUGCUAACCGCAAUUAGUUAGUAUAAGACUUGGAUGACAAUUAUGUGUGGACCUUUGAUAUGUAAUAUCCUUUGAAAGGCGUAGCAGUUUAAGAGGUGUUUAUUAUUAUUAUUAUUAUUAUUAU